UGUUAAAAAUUUCAUCUAUUUGUACAUAUAAAAAUUGACAUACCCGACGGAAUAACCAGAUAAUGAGACGUGGUGUGCCACAUGUACGUUUUGCUGGCAGUAGAAACCAAUUUUUGUUAGUAGAAAUUGAUGGUGUUUUUAACA
rnacentral:pre_miRNA from 1 species